rnacentral:rRNA from 1 species
UUCGCCAGGGGAAAACGAGCCCCAGCUUAAAACCCAAAGGACUUGGCGGUGCUUUAGACCCCCCUAGAGGAGCCUGUUCUAGAACCGAUACUCCCCGUUAAACCUCACCCCCUCUUGUUUUCCCCGCCUAUAUACCGCCGUCGUCAGCUUACCCUGUGAAGGAACUACCGUAAGCAGAAUUGGCAGAGCCCAAAACGUCAGGUCGAGGUGUAGCGUACGAGGGGGGAAGAAAUGGGCUACAUUUACUGAACCAGUAAAUACGAACCUUGUUCUGAAAAAACAUACGAAGGAGGAUUUAGCAGUAAGGUGGGAAUAGAGAGCCCUCCUGAAAACGGCCCUGAAGCGCGCACACACCGCCCGUCACUCUCCCCGACAAAACACUAACUAUAAAUAAUACUUUUCAUUAUCUACAAGGGGAGGCAAGUCGUAACAUGGUAAGUGUACCGGAAGGUGCACUUGGAAAAACC